UACCAGCUCUCCGAGUGGUAGGGACGAUUAUUGGGCUUAAAGCGUCCGUAGCUGGCUUAGCAAGUCUCCUGUUAAAUUCAGCGACCUAAUCGUUGAGCCGCGGGAGAUACUACUAGGCUAGGAGGCGGGAGAGGUCGACGGUACUUUCGGGGUAGGGGUGAAAUCCUAUAAUCCCGGGAGGACCACCAGUGGCGAAGGCUGUUGACUAGAACGCGCUCGACGGUGAGGGACGAAAGCUGGGGUAGCGAACCGGAUUUAGAUACCCGGGUAGUCCCAGCUGUAAACUAUGCGGGCUAGGUGUUGGGGUGGCUACGGGCCACUUCAGUGCCGCAGGAAAGCCAUUAAGCCCGCCGCCUGGGGAGUACGGCCGCAAGGCUGAAACUUAAAGGAAUUGGCGGGGGAGCACCACAAGGCGUGAAGCUUGCGGUUC
rnacentral:rRNA from 1 species